rfam:Cavia porcellus supercont2_6 genomic scaffold, whole genome shotgun sequence.
GGGAAUUUAGCUGAGCGGCAUAAGCGCCUGCUUUGUAAGCAGGUAGUUAUGAGUUUGAUCCCUCGUACCG